UACGGAGGGUGCAAGCGUUAAUCGGAAUCACUGGGCGUAAAGCGCGCGUAGGUGGCUAUUUAAGUCAGAUGUGAAAGCCCUGGGCUCAACCUGGGAAUGGCAUUUGAUACUGGAUAGCUAGAGUAUGGUAGAGGUGAGUGGAAUUUCAGGUGUAGCGGUGAAAUGCUUAGGUAUGACAUAGAACACCAAUUGCGAAGGCAGCUUACUACACAAUGAUUGACGCUGAGGCACGAAAGCGUGGGGAUCAAACAGG
rnacentral:rRNA from 1 species